rnacentral:rRNA from 1 species
GAUGAACGCUAGCGGCAGGCUUAACACAUGCAAGUCGAGGGGUAUAGUUCUUCGGAGCUAGAGACCGGCGCACGGGUGCGUAACGCGAAUGCAAUCUACCUUUUGCAGAGGGAUAGCCCAGAGAAAUUUGGAUUAAUACCUCAUGGUAUGUGAGAAUGGCAUCAUUUUCACAUUAAAGUCACAACGGCAAAAGAUGAGCAUGCGUCCCAUUAGCUAGUUGGUAAGGUAACGGCUUACCAAGGCAACGAUGGGUAGGGGUCCUGAGAGGGAGAUCCCCCACACUGGUACUGAGACACGGACCAGACUCCUACGGGAGGCAGCAGUGAGGAAUAUUGGACAAUGGGCGCAAGCCUGAUCCAGCCAUGCCGCGUGCAGGAUGACGGUCUUAUGGAUUGUAAACUGCUUUUGUACAGGAAGAAACACUGGUUCGUGAACCAGCUUGACGGUACUGUAAGAAUAAGGAUCGGCUAACUCCGUGCCAGCCGCCGCCGUAACAC